rnacentral:rRNA from 1 species
UUCCGGUUGAUCCUGCCGGACCUGACUGCUAUCGGAUUGAUACUAAGCCAUGCGAGUCAUUGUAGCAAUACAAGGCAGACGGCUCAGUAACGCGUAGUCAACCUACCUUAUGGACGGGGAUAACCUCGGGAAACUGAGAAUAAUACCCGAUAGAACAUUAUGCCUGGAAUGGUUUAUGUUUCAAAUAAUUUAUUGCCGUAAGAUGGGACUGCGGCCUAUCAGUUUGUUGGUGAGGUAAUGGCCCACCAAGACUAUUACAGGUACGGGCUCUGAGAGGAGUAGCCCGGAGAUGGGUACUGAGACACGGACCCAGGCCCUAUGGGGCGCAGCAGGCGAGAAAACUUUGCAAUGUGCGAAAGCACGACAAGGUUAAUCCGAGUGGUUUCUGCUAAAGGAACCUUUUGUCAGUCCUAGAAACACUAACGAAUAAGGGGUGGGCAAGUUCUGGUGUCAGCCGCCGCGGUAAAACCAGCACCUCAAGUGGUCAGGAUGAUUAUUGGGCCUAAAGCAUCCGUAGCCUGCUUUGUUAGUUUUCGGUUAAAUCCAUACGCUCAACGUAUGGGCUGCCGGGAAUACUGCAAAGCUAGGGAGUGGGAGAGGUAGACGGUACUCGGUAGGAAGGGGUAAAAUCCUUUGAUCUAUUGAUGACCACCUGUGGCGAAGGCGGUCUACCAGAACACGUCCGACGGUGAGGGAUGAAAGCUGGGGGAGCAAACCGGAUUAGAUACCCGGGUAGUCCCAGCUGUAAACUAUGCAAACUCGGUGAUGCAUUGGCUUGAUGCCAAUGCAGUGCCGCAGGAAGCCGUUAAGUUUGCCGCCUGGGAAGUACGUACGCAAGUAUGAACUUAAAGGAAUUGGCGGGGGAGCACACAGGGGUGAAGCCUGCGUUCAAUUGGAGUCACGCCGGA